CUAUGCUCCCCACCAUCUCCACUACCUUUGCUCCCCAUCAACUCCAACACUUCACCCAUUCCUUCCAUUUCGCACCAGCAAUCACAAAGAGAAGGAAGACUUGGCUUAACUACUUUGCCAAGAUUUCAAGCUGCUCCAGUCCAGUAGUACCCCAACACUCGAAGCUAGAGUUUAUUGGGUGAAAAACCGUGCAUGAGGUCGAGCGCAAGAAUAAGAGCUCGUCAAGGAGUCACUAAUCUGUAGCAAAGCUUUGCUAUCAGGUGGGCAUUACUUUCAUAUAUAUCAAAUGAGUUUAAAUGUUACGUUCAAGCAAGUUAUUUCAUGACUAAAUUAAUUGAAGUUAUUUCAAAUAUUGUCUUGCCAUAAAAUGUUUAAAUUUCAGUAUGAUAUCUAUCUGAUGUGACUUUAAUCAUGUAAUCGAAUUCGGGUCUUGAGCAGUUGAUAGCUAUCCUGCCAGGGCUAGUGUACACCAGUGACCGUGAGUCAUCUAGCGGGUUGGCCGGUCAAGUGACCGUGAGAGGUGGCCACCUCUCCGGCACAAAGUUCCAGAUAUGAUAGAUUACAAGAGAACUUAGUCUGCAGACGAACUUUAAGAAUCACAAAUGAAUUUAGUAAGCUUGGGCCUUUUAGCGAAAAACUCCCUUGCUGUACUGUUUAUGAUGGCAUGACAAUUUACAGUUUUGAAGCAUGUAUUUUUAUAAUUAGGCAUACGUGUCCACUGAGUACUUUUGUACUCAAGCCCUGCAUAUAUUUCUAAAUGUGCAGGUUGAGCAGCUGCCGAUGGUGAUGAAGUGACGAGCGGGAUUCUUUUGUCUUAUUAUGUAUUAAUGAACUCUAGGGUUACAUGUCUUCAUACAUGUAAUCAGAACCUUAUUCCGCUGCGUACUCAGAAGUUUUAUGUUAUUUUGGAUAAGUCGGAGUUAUCCGAACUUGUUAGUUAUUUGAGUCUAUACGACAAAAACUCUGUUAUAUUAUAGAUAUCCAUGUUGUUAACAAUGAUGAAAUACGAUCCUUUCUUGUUUGAUUA